rnacentral:rRNA from 1 species
UACGGAGGGGGCUAGCGUUGUUCGGAAUUCCUGGGCGUAAAGCGCACGUAGGCUGCUUUGCAAGUUAGAGGUGAAAGCCCGGAGCUCAACUCCGGAAUUGCCUUUAAAACUGCAUCGCUAGAAUUGUGGAGAGGUGAGUGGAAUUCCGAGUGUAGAGGUGAAAUUCGUAGAUAUUCGGAAGAACACCAGUGGCGAAGGCGACUCACUGGACACAUAUUGACGCUGAGGUGCGAAAGCGUGGGGAGCAAACAGG